GAUGUCUGUGGUACGGAGGGACUUACCGAGUUUACAACUCCCAAACCCAAUGUGAACGUUACCAAACUGUUGCCUCGGCGGGGUCUCUGCCCGGGGGGGUAAAAGCCCCCGAACCAGGGGCCCGGCGGAGGAACCAACCAAACUCUUUAUGGAAUCCCCUCUCGGACGUAUUUUUUAAAUCUGAGACUUCUCGGCGCCUCGAAUAAGAAUUUCCAACAUGAGAUCUCUUGGUUCUGGCGGAUCUCUUGGUUCUGGCAUCUAUGAUAAACGCUGUGAAUUGCAAAAUUUAAUGUGAAUUGCAAAAUUUGAAGAAUCAUCGAAUCUUUGAACGCACAUUGCGCCCGCCAGUAUUCUGGCGGGCAUGCCUGUCCGAACGUCAUUUCAACCCUCGAACCCCUCCGGGGGGUCGGCGUUGGGGAUCGGCCCUGCCUUGGCGGUGGCCGUCUCCGAAAUACAGUGGCGGUCUCGCCGCAUCCUCUCCUGCGCAGUAGUUUGCACACUCGCAUCGGGAGCGCGGCGCGUCCACAGCCGUUAAACACCCAACUUCUGAAAUGUUGACCUCGGAUCAGGUAGGAAUACCCGUGAAACUUAAAAAUAUCAAGGCUGAAAGAAAA
rnacentral:rRNA from 1 species